AUUAAUUAACAGGCCUUAGAACAUCAUCAAUCUCCAACAGGCAUACCAAUGCACUAGUUAUCCCUUAAACAAAGCACCUAAACAUAACUUAACUGACUUACUGCACUCACAGUCAACUAUCAGAGGCAAAACGUGUUCAAGAGAGGAAAAUGAUUGAUAAAGCAAAGUAGGAAAAAGGGCAUGAAAGUGGGAACAAAAAGAGAGGAGAUAAGAUACAAGAGAAGCAUCAGACGUUACAAAAUAUUGAUGCAGUUUUGAUUUCAACAUCCUCAUGUUUUUAUUCUAGUUUUUUUCUUUAGAGCAUUAUUUUUAAGAAGGCAGAGCUUCUUGUCAAAGUUAGUGAUGGCCACAUUAUUAUUAUUAUUAUUGGCCACAUUCAUAACAUAUGUAAUGCAUGCAUACUGAUUUGGUGUAAUGCAAUGCAAUGAUUCUCAUAUUUUUCUCAUAUUUCAUUUUAUCCUCUGUUUCCAAAUUAUUAUUUUUUAAAAUGUAGGCUACCAAUUUACAUCAUUUUAUGUAUGUAUUUUUUUAUUAUUUUUUUUAUACAUAUUUGUUUAUGUUAUUUUAAUGGUUUGUUUUAGAAUAAUCAAUCACCCUAACUGGAUUUUGUUCAGCUUUUUCAGUGUAAACGUUUAGAUAUCUACUUCAGUCAAUCUUAAAUGUGUAGGCUAACCAAUUUAACAAAUAUCUUGGCCAAGUGUACAAAUAUUAGCAACAGAUUCAUAAUAACGAGCUGCAGAGCUUUGUUUUUUUUGCACAUCCAUCUCUUCAAAUUAAUAAGCAACCGUGGAUUUCACUUCAACUCGCCUGCAUAGUUUACUUCAUGCACAGAGCACGUGGUUGCUGAUAUUUUGUACACUCAGCAUGUUUGAGAAAUGUUUUACUAGGAUUGCACUUUUAAACCCAAAUUAUCUUUGUACUGUGUACUAUCUACUGUACUGUAUUGCUUACAUGUAGAAGGCUGGAGAAAAGUGAAAUAAAGCAUUGGAAAAAA